UGUUAUGCAUGGAGCUGCCUGAGCAUUGCGAGUAGAUGUCAGUAACACGAUGAACCCAGCCAGUGGCGCUGCUGAAAACCGACAACACUAUCACGGUAGAAAACAGCAACGGGCCUCUUCGCCGGCCAGAUUCCGGGACAUUAACUCGAGACCCUCCAUCAAGACUUCGCUGGCUGGCAAAGCUAAUGCGUUAAAGCAGGGCUACCAUCCCGGCCGGAUUUCCAGCUCCGCGGCUGCAAGCGUCAAGGAAAAGCCCAGCAGACAGUCGGCAACUGUCCGCCCCCUUGGUGCUGAAAGGUUGGCGGCGGCGGCGCCUCCAGACAGUGGCGGCGAGGAGGGAGAAAAGACGUCUGAGGCAAAGCUUGCUAACAGUGGCCGCGCUCUGGGCAUUGCCGAGGUGCCGGCAACGUCGCAGCGGCAGGUGCUAGCAGCCGUGGCGGACAAGGGCAAGGGCAGGGGCGGGGAGCUGCGUACAGACGGCGAGUUGCGAGAGGAGCGGCCGGGACGCGCCGGCGUGGGAUCGGCGCCGCCCAACGCGGGCAAAGCACUGUCCAGCGGCGCCGUCGCCGCCAUGCACACCAAAGGUGCGGCCGAGCCAGAGGAGAGGGCGGCGGCGGCGGCAGCAACAGCAACAGCAGCAGCAGCAGCAGCAGCAGCAACAGCAGCAGCAGCAGCAGCAGCCGGAGACUCCACCAUGGAGCCGGUGAUGAUGGAGCAAGAAGAAAGCCUACAAAAUGAGAUCGAGAAGCUGCGCUCGGAAAACCUGGGCCUUAAGGGCGAGAUCGAGGAGAUGCGAACCGAAAUGGAUGAAAUGAGGGACAGUUUCUACGAGGAGGAUGCGUGCCAGCUGCAAGACCUCCGGCGAGAGCUGGAGCGGGCCAACAAGAACUGUCGGAUCCUGCAAUAUCGCCUGCGCAAGACCGAGAGGAAAAGGAUGAGGUUCGCCCAGACCGGGGAGAUGGACAACGAGCUACUGAGAAGUCUGGAGCAAGACCUUAAGGUUGCCAAAGACGUGUCUGUCCGGCUGCACCACGAAUUGGAAAAUGUGGAGGAAAAACGCACUAAAACAGAGGAAGAGAAUGAAACCUUGCGGCAGCAGUUAAUAGAGGCUGAAAUUACCAAACAAGCUCUGCAGAAUGAAAUGGACAAAACCAAAGAGUGUUCAUCGAAGCGACGUGGAAGUAAAGAUCUGCAAAAAACUGAAAAGAAAUCUCAACAAAAUCAAGAGGAGGACAAUGAUGAUUUAAAAUGCCAACUACUGUUCAUCAAAGAAGAGGCAGUUUUAAUGCGUAAGAAAAUGGCAAAGAUCGACAAGGAGAAGGACAGACUGGAGCGUGAAUUGCUAAAGUACAAGUCAUUUUAUGGGGAUCUAGAAAGUCCUUUGCCAAAAGGUGAAGCAGGAGGACCUCCUACAACCAGAGAAGCUGAACUCAAACUACGUCUACGACUGGUAGAAGAAGAAGCUAAUAUCCUGGGGCGAAAAAUUGUCGAACUUGAGGUUGAAAAUAGAGGAUUAAAGGCUGAGUUGGAUGAUAUAAGGGCCCACUAUGAAAAAGGAGGAGCAGUUGGUGAAGAUUACAUGGGUGUCGGUGUUUCUGCUUUUCGGGAUCAAAGUGAAGCCGUGUCAGAAUUAAGACAGAACUUGCAACUGGUUGAGGAUGAAGCUGAACUACUGAGACGAAACCUGGCUGACUUGGAAGACCAAAAUAAAAGACUUUCUGCCGAAGUCAAUAAAUACAAGUACAAAACAGGAACUGCUCAAGAUGCUGCCAGGAAUAGUGAGAAUUCCAAAGUUACAGAAGUGCUACAAGAAGAACUAAAGUCAGCUAGAAUGCAAAUCAAUGAACUCAGUGGCAAAGUCAUGCAGUUACAAUAUGAAAACCGUGUACUGAUGUCCAAUAUGCAACGCUAUGACCUAGCAUCCCAUUUGGGUAUCCGUGGAAGUCCCAGAGAUAGUGAUGCAGAAAGUGACGCAGGAAAAAAAGAAAGCGAUGAUGAUUCUCGGCCUCCUCACCGUAAAAGGGAAGGGCCCAUUGGUGGAGAAAGUGACUCGGAAGAAGUUCGCAACAUCAGGUGUUUACAGACUCCACCAAGGUCCUUAUUUUCUACAGAUGGUAGAUUGCUUCAAAAAAAUCUCAAGGACCGACAACAGAUGUCAGACAUACGGCUGGAGGCAGAGCGACUGAGCAGAACUAUAGAUCGAUUGAUAACAGACACAAGCACAAUAAUAACCGAAGCAAGAAUUUAUGUAGCAAAUGGUGAUCUGUUUGGCAGAAUUGAGGAAGAAGAUGAAAGCAGUAGGAUCAGAGAGCAUGAACUUCUCUACAGGAUCAACGCUCAGAUGAAAGCAUUUCAGAAGGAGCUGCAAACUUUCAUAGACAGACUAGAGGUACCGAAAACAACAGAUGAAAAAAACGCAGAGGAACCUUUGUCUGUUAGUCAGAAUCCCCACCUCCUUCAGUACACAACCUUUUUUUGUUUGUUCAUUUAUUUUAAUAUCUCAUAAAGAAAUCAGCAAAUACAAGUAACAUACUUAGCAGUCAAGACAUUACGGAAACAAAUAUGCAAACCUUUGUUAAAUACUGGAGACUACCAAUUUUCAGCACAGAUUUUUCCAUGAAGCCAUUAGAGAUAAAAAGACAUCCAAGUUAAUGAAUGGUGCACAGGUUGCUUUUGAGUAGGCAGCCUACUGAUUGUUAUUCAGAAAAAUGCAGGCAACUGGAGGAGAGGAGCGGAUUGAGAAAGCAAACUUGUACAAACUGAGUUCUCCUGCAUUACAGACUUUCGUUUGGGGAAUGUGUUGCAGACAAGACUGGACUUUGCAUCUUUUGUGAUUGUCUGCAACUUUGAGGUCUUCAUUUGAAAGCCAAACUCCAGAAUUUGCAGCCAGUUGUUCUUCUACAAAGGACUCUCCUUCAACAUAGACUCCUCCAGCAAAGAAGUGUGAAAUUGUGCCAGUUCUUCAUCGCUUAUUUAUGGGGAAUCUGCUCGGAUAUCUGCAGGUGUCUGAGAUCUGCCUGAUUUUGAAGGGAGGCGGUAAGGAAAUGUGCAUCUGAAGAACUGUCAGUUUGAUCAGUACAAUAAUGGUGUGGUCAGUGUAAAUAAUAUUAAUGUUAUUGGUGAAAAUAUUUAUUACAAUGCUUUAUUCUGCUUACUAAUAGCAUACAACCUUUCAUGAACCAGCUUGACUUUUAGAUGUGUAAGCUUCCAGUUUGCUAGAUUUUCUGUGUAUUCUCCUACUCGCCAUGAUUCUGCUGUAGCCAUUUAUAUUUCCAGCAUCUUCCACAUUUAUUAUUAUUCCAGCACCUGCAGUUUUUGUUGUUCUUCUUCUUCUUAAGCCCUUAGGCCAUUGACAAAUGUCCUCUACCUCACUCGGUUGUUGGCAGUUCUUUCAAGAUCUGCCCAAUAGAGCCCACUCUCAGACAUUUCUUGGAAUGCUUUCAUAUUAUUUGCUUUCAUAUUAUUUAUUUUAUUUAAUUUACACUUUGGAACUUCUGUUUCUGCAUUUUGUUCUAUUACCACUCCUUAUGCCUGGCAACUUCAUGCUUUUGUCGGGUCACCAAUUCUAGCAUGCUUUUUGUUUCUCUACCCACGAAUUCAGUUGCCUGACAUGCUGAGUGCUGCCAGUAUUUAAUUUUAUGUUAUUGUGUUACAUUCUCUGACACGUGCCACUCCUGCUAGUUCGAUUGGUUUACAGAAAAUUGUGACAUAAUAAUUAAAGAGUUAUUUAAAAACAAAAAGGAUGACCUGACAUUGGGUAUAACAUAGUGUAGGUUUACCUUUAUGAGUAAAUAUAUUAUUUUGCUCCAUAAAUUGUCACAUAUUAUAAUUUGAUCGCAGACAAUAGUGUUCCUCACAAACUGGUUCUCCGAUGAGUAAACACAAAGUCAGAUAUAAAUAAACCAGCAUCAUUUGUAAAUUGGGACUUGGGCAUCUUAAUAUAACUUCUGUUAAACUGGUUGUGGCAUUUGCAACUGAUUUCACUUGUAAACAUUGGCGUAUGUGCUUGCUACAUGCGCAUACAGCAAAGGCAAUUACAAAUGAAGGUUGGGCAUAGAAUUUUGUUGUGUAUCAAGCAAAAGAAGUGGCGAGUAUUUUGACAACAUUGGCCUUUGAAAAGACAAAACGUGAUGCUUGAUAGUUGACUAGCAGUUUCAAUACAUUUUAUUUUUUGCCAAAGGCCUUAAUAACAUAAUUCUAAUACUUGGUAAGAAUAUAUACUUUACAUGAUAGCUGCAGUUGAUAUCUGAAACACAGAGAUUCUGUGGUGAUGUACUGUAUGUGAGCCAUGGAUUAGCAGCCCAACUGAAUGUGAAUUUAGAAUUGCUUUUAACAUUUAGUACAUAUCUUUGAUUUCUUGCAUGUGUUAAUCUGACUGUGUGCUCACCACAAAACUAAAAGUGGCCUGGGAUAUAAAAUGUUUAAAGACGUU